rnacentral:rRNA from 1 species
AUACGUAGGUGGCAAGCGUUGUCCGGAUUUAUUGGGCGUAAAGCGAGCGCAGGCGGUUUCUUAAGUCUGACGUGAAAGCCCCCGGCUCAACCGGGGAGGGUCAUUGGAAACUGGGAGACUUGAGUGCAGGAGAGGAGAGUGGAAUUCCAUGUGUAGCGGUGAAAUGCGUAGAUAUAUGGAGGAACACCAGUGGCGAAGGCGACUCUCUGGUCUGUAACUGACGCUGAGGCUCGAAAGCGUAGGGAGCAAACAGGAUUAGAUACCCUGGUAGUCCACGCCGUAAACGAUGAGUGCUAAGUGUUGGAGGGUUUCCGCCCUUCAGUGCUGCAGCUAACGCAUUAAGCACUCCGCCUGGGGAGUACGACCGCAAGGUUGAAACUCAAAUGAAUUGACGGGG